CGUCAAAUCAUCAUGCCCUUAUGACCUGGGCUACACACGUGCUACAAUGGUUGGUACGACGAGUUGCGAGUCGGUGACGGCGAGCUAAUCUCUUAAAGCCAAUCUCAGUUCGGAUUGUAGGCUGCAACUCGCCUACAUGAAGUCGGAAUCGCUAGUAAUCGCGGAUCAGCACGCCGCGGUGAAUACGUUCCCGGGCCUU
rnacentral:rRNA from 1 species